UACGUAGGGGGCAAGCGUUGUCCGGAUUUAUUGGGCGUAAAGAGCGUGUAGGCGGCUGGGUAGGUCCGUUGUGAAAACUCGAGGCUCAACCUCGAGACGCCGAUGGAAACCCUCCAGCUAGAGUCCGGAAGAGGAGAGUGGAAUUCCGGGUGUAGCGGUGAAAUGCGUAGAGAUCCGGAGGAACACCAGUGGCGCAGGCGGCUCUCUGGGUCGGCCCUGACGCUGAGGCGCGAAAGCGUGGGGAGCGAACGGG
rnacentral:rRNA from 1 species